rnacentral:rRNA from 1 species
AAGGGCACCACAAGAACGCGUGGAGCAUGUGGCUUAAUUUGACUCAACGCGGGAAAUCUUACCGGGUCCGGGCACACUGAGGAUUGACAGACAAUCAUAUAUUUUUACCUUUGGGUAAUUAUAUAUCAAAUAAAGAUGCUAGUUCUUUCAUGAUUACGUGAUAGGUGGUGCAUGGCCGUUCUUAGUUCGUGGAGUGAUCUGUCUGCUUAAUUGCGUUUCACAAUUAAAAUACGUACUGUUUAAUUUAUGAUUGCCUGACCCCAUCCUUACGGGUGCCUGUGUGUCUCGUAUCUAAAAUUUAUAUACAUACGUUAUUUCGAAAGCAACGAACGUGACCGUAUCCUUUUGUUAAUAUACAUACGUAUAUUUUAAAAACUAAAGGGACCGCUGUUUCUUUCUUAAACCAGAGGAAGGUUACGGCAAUAACAGGUCUGUGAUGCCCUUAGAUGUUCCGGGCUGCACACGUGCUACAAUGAUUAUUUCAGUAAGUAUCUAAUCUUUUAUACGUACACUGUGCAUGUGUAUUAUAUACACUUGACUCAAUGGACUAUUAUCCUACCUCGAAAGUUAGGUGGGUAAUCAAUUAGAAGUAAUGAUUUCCUAAAAUAUUUUGUACAAAAAUAUACAGCGUAUUCAUAUCCCAUAAAGAGCAAUCUGCAUGCGUGUGUAUGAUACGUAUAUUUCCCAUUAUACGGGAUUUAUUUNCUGUAUGUACAAUUGUUAAUUCAUGGUGGGGACAGACCAUUGUUAAUUAUUGGUCUCGGUCUUAACUAGGAAUGCCUUGUACGGGUCUUUGGUUCAUCAAACCACCCGGAAUACGUCCCUGCCCUUUGUACACACCGCCCGUCGCUCUUACCGAUGAACUUUACUAUGAAUUUGAGGGAUUUUUUCAUUAAAAAAACUUAAAUGAAUAGUGUGGUUUAAAGGAAAGAGAAGUCGAACAAGGCA